rnacentral:rRNA from 1 species
UACGUAGGGUGCGAGCGUUAAUCGGAAUUACUGGGCGUAAAGGGUGCGUAGGCGGUCGGGUAAGUCUGGCGUGAAAUCUCCAAGCCUAACUUGGAAACUGCGUUGGAUACUAUCCGGCUCGAGGAAUGGAGGGGAGACUGGAAUACUUGGUGUAGCAGUGAAAUGCGUAGAUAUCAAGUGGAACACCAGUGGCGGAGGCGAGUCUCUGGACAUUUCCUGACGCUGAGGCACGAAAGCCAGGGGAGCAAACGGG